rnacentral:rRNA from 1 species
UCCGUAGGUGAACCUGCGGAAGGAUCAUUACCGAGUGCGGGAACCCAGUCGGGUCCCAAUCUCCCACCCGUGUCUACCACACCUAGUGUUGCUUUGGCGGGCCCACUCCUCCGGUGUUCCGCCGGGGGGGUCGUCCCGGGGCGCGGUGUGCCCCCGGGGCCCGUGCCCGCCAGAGGCACUCACUGUGAACGCUUUUGUGAAUGCGAGGAUUGUCUGAGUGACGAAAUGCAAUCGUUCAAAACUUUCAACAAUGGAUCUCUUGGUUCCGGCAUCGAUGAAGAACGCAGCGAAAUGCGAUAAGUAAUGUGAAUUGCAGAAUUCCGUGAAUCAUCGAAUCUUUGAACGCACAUUGCGCCCUCUGGUAUUCCGGGGGCAUGCCUGUCCGAGCGUCAUUGCGAACCCUCAAGCACGGCUUGUGUGUUGGGCCGCCGUCCCCUCGUUUGGAGGGGACGGGCCUGAAAGGCAGCGGCGGCGUCGCGUCCGGUCCUCGAGCGUAUGGGGCUCUGUCACGCGCUCAAGGAGGGGUCCGGCCGGGGCCAUAGCCUCUGAAGGUCAAUUCUUCCAAGGGGGUUGGACCUCCGGGGGGAUCAGGGUAGGGAGGUACCCGGCUGAACUUAAGGCAUAUCAAUAAGGCGGGGAGGGGAAGGGUCGGACUGGCCAAGGGCACACAGGGGAUA